rfam:Myotis brandtii contig238307, whole genome shotgun sequence.
GCCAGUUUGGCUGAAUGGAUAGAGCAUCAGCCUGGGGACUGAAUGGUCACCGGUUCAAUUCCGGUAAAGGGCA